rnacentral:rRNA from 1 species
GACGAACGCUGGCGGCGUGCCUAAUACAUGCAAGUCGAACGCAGUUGCGAACGGGUGAGUAACGCGUAGGUAACCUGCCUCAUAGCGGGGGAUAACUAUUGGAAACGAUAGCUAAUACCGCAUACUGUGAGAUGGACCUGCGUUGUAUUAGCUGGUUGGUGAGGUAAAGGCUCACCAAGGCGACGAUAGAUAGCCGACCUGGGAGGGUGAUAGGCCACACGAGGGCUGAGACACGGCCCAGGCUCCUGCGGGAGGCAGCAGUAGGGAAUCGUCGGCAAUGGACGAAAGUCUGACCGAGCAACGCCGCGUGAGUGAAGAAGGUUUUCGGAUCGUAAAACUCGGUUGUUAGAUAAGCGGUAGCUAACCAGAAAGCCACGGCUAACUACGUGCCAGCCGCCGCGGUAAUUC